UUGCCAGACUCCUACGGGAGGCAGCAGUGGGGAAUAUUGGGCAAUGGGCGCAAGCCUGACCCAGCAACGCCGCGUGAAGGAAGAAGGCUUUCGGGUUGUAAACUUCUUUUGACAGGGAAGAGCAGAAGACGGUACCUGUCGAAUAAGCCACGGCUAACUACGUGCCAGCAGCCGCGGUAAUACGUAGGUGGCAAGCGUUGUCCGGAUUUACUGGGUGUAAAGGGCGUGUAGCCGGGCUGACAAGUCAGAUGUGAAAUCCGGGGGCUCAACCCCCGAACUGCAUUUGAAACUGUUGGUCUUGAGUAUCGGAGAGGCAGGCGGAAUUCCUAGUGUAGCGGUGAAAUGCGUAGAUAUUAGAAGGAACACCAAUAGCGUAGGCAGGUUACUGGGACGGUUCUGACACUAAGGCACGAAAGCGUGGGGAGCAAACGGGAUUAGAUACCCCCGUAU
rnacentral:rRNA from 1 species